rnacentral:rRNA from 1 species
GAUGAACGCUGGCGGUGUGCCUAAUACAUGCAAGUCGAGCGGUAACACUUCGGGUGACGAGCGGCGGACGGCUGGGUAACGCGUAGGAAUGUACCCCAGAGUGAGGGAUAAGCACCAGAAAUGGUGUCUAAUACCGCAUACGACCUACGGGCGACAGGGGGGGAUCGCAAGACUCCUCGCUAUUGGCGCGGCCGAUAUCAGAUUAGCUAGUUGGUGGGGUAAAGGCCUACCAAGGCAACGAUCUGUAGUUGGUCUGAGAGGACGACCAGCCACACUGGGACUGAGACACGGCCCAGACUCCUACGGGAGGCAGCAGUGGGGAAUUUUGGACAAUGGGCGCAAGCCUGAUCCAGCAAUGCCGCGUGCAGGAAGAAGGCCUUCGGGUUGUAAACUGCUUUUGUCAGGGAAGAAAUCCUCUAGGUUAAUACCCUUGGGGGGAUGACGGUACCUGAAGAAUAAGCACCGGCUAACUACGUGGCAGCAGCCGCAGUAA